UUUCCUACGGGACGCAGCAGUAGGGAAUCUUCCACAAUGGGCGAAAGCCUGAUGGAGCAACGCCGCGUGGGUGAAGAAGGUCUUCGGAUCGUAAAACCCUGUUGUUAGAGAAGAAAGUGCGUGAGAGUAACUGUUCACGUUUCGACGGUAUCUAACCAGAAAGCCACGGCUAACUACGUGCCAGCAGCCGCGGUAAUACGUAGGUGGCAAGCGUUAUCCGGAUUUAUUGGGCGUAAAGGGAACGCAGGCGGUCUUUUAAGUCUGAUGUGAAAGCCUUCGGCUCAACCGGAGAAUUGCAUCAGAAA
rnacentral:rRNA from 1 species